ACCACCACAACGGCUUCCUGGCGUGGUCGGUCAACCCCAAUGGAGCA
rnacentral:ncRNA from 1 species